ACACGAAGUGAGUGGCGAACGGGUGAGUAACACGUGGGUAACCUGCCCAGAAGUAGGGGAUAACACCUGGAAACAGAUGCUAAUACCGUAUAACAGAGAAAACCGCAUGGUUUUCUUUUAAAAGAUGGCUCUGCUAUCACUUCUGGAUGGACCCGCGGCGUAUUAGCUAGUUGGUGAGGUAAAGGCUCACCAAGGCAGUGAUACGUAGCCGACCUGAGAGGGUAAUCGGCCACAUUGGGACUGAGACACGGCCCAGACUCCUACGGGAGGCAGCAGUAGGGAAUCUUCCACAAUGGACGCAAGUCUGAUGGAGCAACGCCGCGUGAGUGAAGAAGGGUUUCGGCUCGUAAAGCUCUGUUGUUAAAGAAGAACGUGGGUAAGAGUAACUGUUUACCCAGUGACGGUAUUUAACCAGAAAGCCACGGCUAACUACGUGCCAGCAGCCGCGGUAAUACGUAGGUGGCAAGCGUUAUCCGGAUUUAUUGGGCGUAAAGCGAGCGCAGGCGGUCUUUUAAGUCUAAUGUGAAAGCCUUCGGCUCAACCGAAGAAGUGCAUUGGAAACUGGGAGACUUGAGUGCAGAAGAGGACAGUGGAACUCCAUGUGUAGCGGUGAAAUGCGUAGAUAUAUGGAAGAACACCAGUGGCGAAGGCGGCUGUCUGGUCUGCAACUGACGCUGAGGCUCGAAAGCAUGGGUAGCGAACAGGAUUAGAUACCCUGGUAGUCCAUGCCGUAAACGAUGAUUACUAAGUGUUGGAGGGUUUCCGCCCUUCAGUGCUGCAGCUAACGCAUUAAGUAAUCCGCCUGGGGAGUACGACCGCAAGGUUGAAACUCAAAAGAAUUGACGGGGGCCCGCACAAGCGGUGGAGCAUGUGGUUUAAUUCGAAGCUACGCGAAGAACCUUACCAGGUCUUGACAUCUUCUGACAGUCUAAGAGAUUAGAGGUUCCCUUCGGGGACAGAAUGACAGGUGGUGCAUGGUUGUCGUCAGCUCGUGUCGUGAGAUGUUGGGUUAAGUCCCGCAACGAGCGCAACCCUUAUUACUAGUUGCCAGCAUUAAGUUGGGCACUCUAGUGAGACUGCCGGUGACAAACCGGAGGAAGGUGGGGACGACGUCAAAUCAUCAUGCCCCUUAUGACCUGGGCUACACACGUGCUACAAUGGAUGGUACAACGAGUCGCGAGACCGCGAGGUUAAGCUAAUCUCUUAAAACCAUUCUCAGUUCGGACUGUAGGCUGCAACUCGCCUACACGAAGUCGGAAUCGCUAGUAAUCGCGGAUCAGCAUGCCGCGGUGAAUACGUUCCCGGGCCUUGUACACACCGCCCGUCACACCAUGAGAGUUUGUAACACCCAAAGCCGGUGGGGUAACCUUUUAGGAGCUAGCCGUCUAAGG
rnacentral:rRNA from 1 species